UCAAAACCGUCAGUGAAUAAUUUUUUUUAAAAAAUAAUCUUACAGAGUCUUUUAAAAAAAUUACAUUACGCCACUAAACUCCCAUUUUUUUAAUCUACCGUCGAUCACCUUUUUCUCAAAACCCUAGCUCUAUUUUCCCUCUAAAAAUUAGCAUCUUGUUGAUUAUAGAAGUAUUGAUUGCUCUUUAUGAGAGAAUUGUCUCUAGGAAAUUGAUAGUUUAUCCCCAGUUGCUUCACUUGAUUAUGUCAUUUGCACAUUUGGUCAUUCCUUUUUUCCCUGAAUUUGAGAGAGUAAUUAGAGCUUUCUUCAUACGUAAAUUACUAAAUGACAGUAUUUACCACUUGUUGAUUAUGAAUUCGGAUUGCUGUGACAAUGUAUUCAUUUGCUUCACUUACAACCUCCUUUAAUCGGGAUAUGUUGACUUAAUUUUUGUGGGUUUAUGUAUUACUGAUUAUGUCAGUUGAUAGGACUCAGAAGAAGGUAUCUGCAAUUGGUGCGAACAGCAAGAAAGCAAACUUGGAGGUUGAGUUCAAAAAGAUGGAGCACAAGGACACCCAUUCUCUAUCUGUGAUGUUUUCAUUGUUUCUUUCUGAUGGUUUCGCUUGAGAACUUCUUGUAUUCUUAGCUGAGGAAUAUUCUCUCAAGAAGUUUCCAUCCUAUUAGUGAUCUGUAUCUUGUUGGGAGUAGGAAGAGUUGAAGACAAAGAAGGCACAAUAUACUGAAAAAAUGAAAAACAAAACCACCGGCAACAUGCCUUUGCAGCACCUCUACCAGCAUAAUCUGACUUCGACAACACCUUCACUAGCAGCGCCCUCAAAUCUGGCCAGAACCAUGCCUUAAUACCUAGUACGGCACUAGGUGUUAAGUGGGAUUGCUACUAAAUGUGAAGGAACAAAUUAAUGUGGAAUAUGACAACCCGCAUUCUUGAAGGCCUGACAGAUCAGCCCACCGUGAUGAUGUUGAGGAGGAUCGUGUGGCAAGUACAUCGUCAUAUUAGUUGUUGAAUUAGAUGCUAAAUUAUGUACUUUAUGAUAAUUUAUAAGAAUUAGUAAGUAUUUUGUAAAUGUAUGAGAACUUUGAAGUAGUUUGAAAUAGAAUUGUGUGACUUAUGACAGUAUGUCUUUUUCAUUCAAUUUAAGUACUUAAAGUUGAUUUUGAUGUAUUGUGGAUUGAAGGAUAUUUAAAAUGAGUUUGUUGUAGUUUGAUUGAUAGUUGAUAGCUUUUGAGC